AUUGAACGCUGGCGGCAUGCCUUACACAUGCAAGUCGAACGGUAACGGGCCUUCGGGUGCCGACGAGUGGCGAACGGGUGAGUAAUGCAUCGGAACGUACCUUUCAGUGGGGGAUAACGUAGCGAAAGUUACGCUAAUACCGCAUAUUCUGUGAGCAGGAAAGCAGGGGAUCGCAAGACCUUGCGCUGAUUGAGCGGCCGAUGUCAGAUUAGCUAGUUGGUGAGGUAAAGGCUCACCAAGGCGACGAUCUGUAGCGGGUCUGAGAGGACGAUCAGCCACACUGGGACUGAGACACGGCCCAGACUCCUACGGGAGGCAGCAGUGGGGAAUAUUGCGCAAUGGCGAAAGCCUGACGCAGCCACGCCGCGUGAGUGAUGAA
rnacentral:rRNA from 1 species